rnacentral:lncRNA from 1 species
AGGCAAUAACUUCAAUACAUGUACUGCCAUACAGGUGGGAACUGAGAGCUACAUAACAUACACCAAGCCCAAGUGCUUCUUACUGCUAUAGACUUUAUGAAGGUUGGUACUUGGUAGGCCUUGGGCUCAGCUGCGUGUCCACCGAUUUUAAUUAAAGGACUCUGCCCCCUGGUCUGAUAUUGACCUGAAUGAUCUGGGGUUAGAAUGUCAAUAAUCAGCUGAUCUGAUGUUGGAAAUAAUAAAGUUCACUCACUUCUUUUCUUUCUCUUUUUCUCUCGGAAAUAUACAGGUGAGUAUAAAAUGGAAAGCAAUAUCCAAGCAACAAGCACAGGGGCCUUCAACU